AUUUUAAGACUUCCAGGUGAAGCGGUGCAAAGGAAAAAAGCACCAAAAGUUUAAAAACUUUCAAGUACUAUCUCGAAUCUGGAAAAUAGUUGGAGACUAUCCAUGAAAUUUUCCCAGAAAACGAAUCAAAGAAGUUCAGCAGAAGACAAGAAAGUGCUCAAUAGUUCUGAUUCAUUGAUUUCUCCUCCUCCCCUCCUCCAAAAACAAUAAAAAAAAAAUCCCACUAAUUAGACCUUCCAUUUGAAGCCCACCGCGAUUUUCUCAAGUAUAAUCAGCAUCGCAAUGGAUGAGUUUGAAUUUCGACGUAUUCUGAGCUCUUCCCAAUUGUCCGACCUCGUGAUUAUUGCCUUGAUGUGGAAUCUUCGGGGCAAUCAACUUCUCAGUCUAAAGGGAAUAAGAAGGUAACUAAACUGCUGGAUGGGGACGAAAAA